CACGUAGGGCGCAAGCGUUGUCCGGAAUUAUUGGGCGUAAAGAGCUCGUAGGCGGACUGUCACGUCUGCUGUGAAAAGCUGGGCUUAACCCUGGCCUUGCAGUGGAUACGGGCAGACUAGAGGUAGGUAGGGGAGAAUGGAAUUCCCGGUGUAGCGGUGAAAUGCGCAGAUAUCGGGAGGAACACCGGUGGCGAAGGCGGUUCUCUGGGCCUUACCUGACGCUGAGGAGCGAAAGCGUGGGAGCGAACCAGG
rnacentral:rRNA from 1 species